rnacentral:tRNA from 2 species
GCCUGGGUGGCGAAAUUGGUAGACGCAGUGGAUUCAAAAUCCACCGUUGGAAACAACGUGUCGGUUCGAGUCCGACCCUAGGCACCA